rnacentral:rRNA from 1 species
GAUGAACGCUAGCGGCAGGCCUAAUACAUGCAAGACGAACGGUAAGUUGAGUAGCAAUACUUAGCCAAGAGUGUCGUACGGGUGCGUAACACGUAUGCAACCUACCCUAUACAGGAGGAUAGCCUAGGGAAACCUGGAUUAACCCUUCAUAGUAUUAUUGGAUGGCAUCAUUUGAUAAUUAAAACUGAGGUGGUAUAGGAUGGGCAUGCGUCUGAUUAGUUAGUUGGCGGGGUAAUGGCCCACCAAGACGAUGAUCAGUAGGGGUUCUGAGAGGAAGAUCCCCCACACUGGCACUGAGAUACGGGCCAGACUCCUACGGGAGCAGCAGUAGGAAUAUUGGUCAAUGGAUGCAAGUCUGAACCAGCCAUGCCGCGUGCAGGAAGAAGGCCCUUUC